CAGGGUGUAGCUAAGCUUAGAAAAGCAUCUCCCUUACACCGAGAAGUCGCCCGUGCAAACCGAGCCACCCUGA
rnacentral:tRNA from 1 species